UAAUUAAAUUCUGUUGGUCUCUUAUUGAAAUAAAAUUGUCCUUACUUAACGAAAUUCAACUUUGGAUAUAUCAAUGGAUGAUUUACGAUGUGAUGGUAGAACAAUGCUGGAUUAUCACCCUAUAAUUCUUGAAACUACAUUAGUUUCCAAUGCCAGUGGAUCGGCAAGGCUGAGACUUGCAAACUCAUCAACAUCUGGAAAAUGAAAUUUGCAAAUUCCUACAAAGAUCCUAUGCUUCAGAUCAUGAAUCAAUGUGGAGGGAACCCUUAUGAUGCAGUGUCAUUGGCUGUGAAAUCGGCCCUUUAUGCAACAUAAAUUCCAUCUAUUAAAAUAUCAACCAUGGAUGGAUAUCAACAUGAACUGGAGGUAUUCAAUAACACUCAUACUCAGGCUCAUCGUUGUCGAAAAGCACUUGGAGGAGGAAUGCGGCAGGCGGGUAUUUUGGCCGCAGCCGGAAUUUUGUCACUUUCAAAGGGACCUACCAGGGUAGCUCAAGAUCAUAUUUUCACCAAACAAUUGGUCAAUUGGCUGUUACUGCGCAAGAGGUUGGAAAAAGCGUUGUGGAAGUUGAUCGAUAUACCGUAGAGACGAAUAUGGUUAUGCUAAAAGUCGAGCCCAUAUCAGGUGCUACCCCUAAUUCAAUUGUGAAAAGAUUUGCUGAAUCUACUGAAAAGGAAGUUCACGGGAUCGGUCAAGAUAUUCGUUGGCUUGCUUACCCGAUGACUGAAACGAACAUCAUAAUUGUUGUUCACUGCAGUAACCCACCUGAAGACAUCAAUCUCGCUCAAGACAAAUAAGGGUAUGUUUUUGAUGAAAUCAAUCAAAGUAACGCUGUAUAAGUAAACUGGAAGCUUCAUAAGUGCUUUAUUCCAUGUAACGAUCAUUACAAACGUAGUAUUGUUGUAGAUUGGGGAAUUAGUGGAAGAGCUGUUCUUUUGUUUGUAUCAGCCGUUACUCGUCUUCUAUUCAUGUGUAAAAAAUGAAUACAU